AACAAGGGGUGCUGGCGCAAGGCCGGCUGAGAGGAAGCCCGUUUGGCUUUAAACCCUGUACCUGAUCCGGAUAAUACCGGCGGAGGGAUGUUUU
rnacentral:ncRNA from 1 species